rnacentral:rRNA from 1 species
UACGUAGGGUGCAAGCGUUAAUCGGAAUUACUGGGCGUAAAGCGUGCGCAGGCGGUUGUGUAAGACAGGCGUGAAAUCCCCGGGCUCAACCUGGGAACUGCGCUUGUGACUGCUAAGCUAGAGUACGGCAGAGGGGGGUGGAAUUCCACGUGUAGCAGUGAAAUGCGUAGAGAUGUGGAGGAACACCGAUGGCGAAGGCAGCCCCCUGGGCCGAUACUGACGCUCAUGCACGAAAGCGUGGGUAGCAAACAGG